rnacentral:rRNA from 1 species
UACCAGCACCCCGAGUGGUCGGGACGAUUAUUGGGCCUAAAGCAUCCGUAGCCGGCCUUACAAGUCCUCCGUUAAAUCCAGCUGCUUAACAGAUGGCUGCGGAGGAUACUAUAAGACUAGGAGGCAGGAGAGGCAAGCGGUAGACUCAGUGGGUCAGGGGUAAAAUCCGUUGAUCCAUUGAAGACCACCAGUGGCGAAGGCGGCUUGCCAGAAUGC